GACAGAGGUCCCGAGCGUUAGGCGGAAUCACUGGGCUUAAAGCGUGUGUAGGCGGAUGUCUAAGUACCUUGUGAAAUCCCACGGCUUAACCGUGGAAUUGCUUGGUAUACUGGAUGUCUUGAGCCAGCUAGGGGCAACCGGAACAAAUGGUGGAGCGGUGAAAUGCGUAGAUAUCGGGAAGAACACCCGUGGCGAAGGCGGCUCUCUGGGACGGUACUGACGCUGAGACGCGAAAGCGUGGGGAGCGAACAGG
rnacentral:rRNA from 1 species